AUGUGGAGCAGGUUUACAGCUAUGACAUGGAUAUUUAUAUACUUGUAGGACUGAGGAAACACUCAACAUGAUGAUAUCACAACAGAGAGAAGAAAAGGACCAUUUCAAGAUCCAAGCUAUGAAAAGAAAGAAAUCCUGGGAGGCUGCGAGUCCAACAACUUGAGAAUCCUAGAUGAGUA